rnacentral:rRNA from 1 species
CAAGGAUGAAAGACGGUUUCUGGUCUGUCACUUACGCAGAUGGACCCGCGGCGUCAUUAGCUAGUUGGAUGGGGUACCAUGGCUCACCAAGGCGUAAACGAUGCGUAGCCGAGCCUGAGAGGGUGAUCGGCCACACUGGGACUGCAGCACACGGCUCCAGCACUCCUACGGGAGGCAGCAGUAGGGAAUCUUCCGCAAUGGACUGAAAGUCUGACGGAGCAACGCCGCGUGAGUGAUGAAGGUUUUCGGAUCGUAAAGCAUCUGUUGUUAUGGGAAGAACAAGUGCGAGAGUAACUGCUCGCACCUUGACGGUACCUAACCAGAAAGCCACGGCUAACUACGUGCCAGCAGCCGCGGUAAUACGUAGGUGGCAAGCGUUGUCCGGAAUUAUUGGGCGUAAAGGGCUCGCAGGCGGUUUCUUAAGUCUGAUGUGUAAAGCCCCCGGCUCAACCGGGGAGGGUCAUUGGAAACUGGGAAACUUGAGUUGCCAGAAGAGGAGAGUGGAAUUCUCACGUGACUGGCGGUGACAAUGCGUAGGAAGAUGUGGAGGAACACCAGUGGCGAAGGCGACUCUGACCUGGUCUGUACACGUGCUACGCUGGACGGAGCGAAAGCGCUGCGGGAGCGAACAGGAUUAGCCAUACCCU